rnacentral:tRNA from 1 species
CGGAAUGUGGCUUAACUUGGUAAAGCGCUCGUUUCGGGUGCGAGAGAUUCCGGGUUCAAAUCCCGGCAUUCCGA